GAACGGGCCGCUGCGGUGAAUGGGCCAAUUGUUUCGGGCUUCUGCUUGCCGCUCUUAAUCUGGAAUCUCGCUUCAUCUACGAUACAACUGAUCACGUAUGGAAUGAGGUCUAUUUGCUCGCCGAGCAACGUUGGUGCCACGUGGAUCCUUGUGAAAAUACUAUGGAUCGACCGUUACUGUAUACCCGUGGAUGGGGAAAGACACUGGGUUACUGUAUUGGAUACGGUAGUGAUCAUGUGGUUGACGUCACUUGGAGAUAUAUUUGGGAUUCCAAAAAAUUG
rnacentral:sRNA from 1 species